rnacentral:rRNA from 1 species
UGAGGAAUAUUGGUCAAUGGACGGAAGUCUGAACCAGCCAAGUAGCGUGCAGGAUGACGGCCCUAUGGGUUGUAAACUGCUUUUGUAUGGGGAUAAAGUUAGGGACGUGUCCCUAUUUGCAGGUACCAUACGAAUAAGGACCGGCUAAUUCCGUGCCAGCAGCCGCGGUAAUACGGAAGGUCCAGGCGUUAUCCGGAUUUAUUGGGUUUAAAGGGAGCGUAGGCUGGAGAUUAAGUGUGUUGUGAAAUGUAGACGCUCAACGUCUGAAUUGCAGCGCAUACUGGUUUCCUUGAGUACGCACAACGUUGGCGGAAUUCGUCGUGUAGCGGUGAAAUGCUUAGAUAUGACGAAGAACUCCGAUUGCGAAGGCAGCUGACGGGAGCGCAACUGACGCUUAAGCUCGAAGGUGCGGGUAUCAAACAGGAUUAGAUACCCUGGUAGUCCGCACAGUAAACGAUGGAUGCCCGCUGUUGGUACCUGGUAUCAGCGACUAAGCGAAAGCAUUAAGCAUCCCACCUGGGGAGUACGCCGGCNACGGU